rnacentral:rRNA from 1 species
ACGAACGCUGGCGGCGUGCUUAACACCUGCAAGUCGAACGAAGAGCGAUGGAAGCUUGCUUCUAUCAAUCUUAGUGGCGAACGGGUGAGUAACGCGUAAUCAACCUGCCCUUCAGAGGGGGACAACAGUUGGAAACGACUGCUAAUACCGCAUACGAUCUAAUCUCGGCAUCGAGGAUAGAUGAAAGGUGGCCUCUACAUGUAAGCUAUCACUGAAGGAGGGGAUUGCGUCUGAUUAGCUAGUUGGAGGGGUAACGGCCCACCAAGGCGAUGAUCAGUAGCCGGUCUGAGAGGAUGAACGGCCACAUUGGGACUGAGACACGGCCCAGACUCCUACGGGAGGCAGCAGUGGGGAAUCUUCCGCAAUGGACGAAAGUCUGACGGAGCAACGCCGCGUGAGUGAUGACGGCCUUCGGGUUGUAAAGCUCUGUUAAUCGGGACGAAAGGCCUUCUUGCGAAUAGUGAGAAGGAUUGACGGUACCGGAAUAGAAAGCCACGGCUAACUACGUG